GGGCAGGAUAUGUGAAGUAGGCCCACCCGCAGGCGGGUUGUCCUUCUUCACGAAGCCCUUAUUCGCACUACGUGCUCAACGGACAUCCUGCUCUGGGGGUGU
rnacentral:ncRNA from 1 species